CUCGUAGGCGGCCAACUAAGUCACACGUGAAAUCCCCAGGCUUAACCUGGGAACUGCGUGUGAUACUGGAUGGCUUGAAUUCGGGAGAGGGAUGCAGAAUUCCAGGUGUAGCGGUGAAAUGCGUAGAUAUCUGGAGGAAUACCGGUGGCGAAGGCGGCAUCCUGGACCGACAUUGACGCUGAGGAGCGAAAGCUAGGGGAGCAAC
rnacentral:rRNA from 1 species